rnacentral:rRNA from 1 species
GGUAAUGCCGGAUGCUCCGGUUGGAUGCAUGUCCUUCCGGGAAAGAUUCUAUCGGUAUGGGAUGGGGUCGCGUCCUAUCAGCUUGAUGGCGGGGUAACGGCCCACCAUGGCUUCGACGGGUAGCCGGCCUGAGAGGGCGACCGGCCACAUUGGGACUGAGAUACGGCCCAGACUCCUACGGGAGGCAGCAGUGGGGAAUAUUGCACAAUGGGCGCAAGCCUGAUGCAGCGACGCCGCGUGCGGGAUGGAGGCCUUCGGGUUGUAAACCGCUUUUGAUCGGGAGCAAGCCCUUCGGGGUGAGUGUACCUUUCGAAUAAGCACCGGCUAACUACGUGCCAGCAGCCGCGGUAAUACGUAGGGUGCAAGCGUUAUCCGGAAUUAUUGGGCGUAAAGGGCUCGUAGGCGGUUCGUCGCGUCCGGUGUGAAAGCCCAUCGCUUAACGGUGGGUCUGCGCCGGGUACGGGCGGGCUGGAGUGCGGUAGGGGAGACUGGAAUUCCCGGUGUAACGGUGGAAUGUGUAGAUAUC